UUUGAUCCUGGCUCAGGAUGAACGCUGGCGGCGUGCCUAACACAUGCAAGUCGAACGGAGCGCCCGGACGGAGUAUUUCGGUACAAAGACCGGGUGGCUGAGUGGCGGACGGGUGAGUAACGCGUGGACAACCUGCCGUGUACAGGGGGAUAACAGCCGGAAACGGCUGCUAAUACCGCAUAUGCGCACAGUGCCGCAUGGCACAGGGCGGAAAGCCUAGAUCUUAUCUAGUACGGUACACGAUGGGUCCGCGUCUGAUUAGGUAGUUGGCGGGGUAACGGCCCACCAAGCCCACGAUCAGUAGCCGGCCUGAGAGGGCGGACGGCCACACUGGGACUGAGACACGGCCCAGACUCCUGCGGGAGGCAGCAGUGGGGAAUAUUGCACAAUGGGGGGAACCCUGAUGCAGCGACGCCGCGUGAAGGAAGAAGUAUCUCGGUAUGUAAACUUCUAUCAGCAGGGAAGAAAGAGGACGGUACCUGACUAAGAAGCCCCGGCUAACUACGUG
rnacentral:rRNA from 1 species